UUAAGUUCAGCGGGUAUUCCUACCUGAUCCGAGGUCAACCAGAAAAAAUUGGGGGUUUAACGGCCGGGGGGGCAGCACCUAACAAAAGCGAGAUAAAGAAUUACUACGCUCAGAGGACUACUGCCACUCCGCCAAUCGCAUUAGGGAACUACGGAGGCCGUAGAGUCCCAACAGUAAGCUGUGCUUAGGGGUUGAAAUGA
rnacentral:misc_RNA from 1 species